GAUACAUGGGGAUGUCACAAAAAGGCCAUCAUCAAAAAGUCUGCAGGAGAUCCUGCUGUGGUGCAAUGGGAUCAACACUGGGAUGCAGGUUCAAUCCCCGCACAGGGGGUUAAGGAUCUAACAUUGUCACAGCUGAGGUACAGGUUGUCACUGUGGCUCAGAUCUGAACCCUAGCCUGAAAACUCCAUAUGCUCUGGGGUGGCCGAAAAAGAAAAAGAAAAAAAAGGAGCUCCUGUCAUGGCUCAGGGGUAAUGAACCUGACUAGUAUCCAUGAGGAUGCCGGUUCAAUCCCAGGCCUCGCUCAUGGGUUAAGGAUCCGGCAUUGCCGUGAGCUAUGGUAUAGGUUGCACACACAGCUUGGAUCCUGCAUGGCUGUGGCUGUGGCGUGGGUCAGCAGCUCUAGCUCCAACUGGACCCCUAGCCUGGGAACCUCCAUAUGCCGCGGGUGCUGCCCUAAAAAAGCAAAAAAAAAAAAAAAGCUAUUGUAUCUUAUCUUCACGUAGCUAAUGGGUAUAUGGUGCCCCAGAACUACACCCCUGGUUCCAGCCAGCCUAGGGUCACACUCCAGCUCCGUGACCCUGAGAAUAGUUUCCUAAGCAUUCUGAAGUCCCUUAGUCUUGUCAUCUGCCUGGCAGAGUGAGACGUGGUUUUCACCCUGAUUUAAAUUCUGGCCCUAGCAUCCUCAUCAUAAGUUAGGGAAAAGUGGCUCUAGCUCAGGGGUUCUCUUUACACUCACUGGAGGGUGUGUGGGAGGUGAGACCUACUCAUCAAGACCUUGGAGAGAGGCUGCCAAGAUGAAUGGAAAGAAGCCAGGCUCAGAGCUUGAAGCACGCUCUGUGACUUGCAAGCAGGGGAAUUCAUCCCAGCCUCUCUGAGCCUCAACUUCCUCAUCUUUUUUUUUUUUUUUUUUUUUUAGGGCCGCACCCUCAGCAUAUGGAAGUUCCUAGGUUAGGGAUCCAAUUGGAGCUGCAGCUGCCAGCCGACGGCACAGCCGCAGCAACAUGGGAUCGAGCUGCCUCUGUGACCUACGCCACAGCUCACAGCAAUGCCUGAUCCUUAACCCACUGAGCGAGGCCAGGGAUCGAACCUGUAUCGUCAUGGAUGCUAGUCAAGUUCAUAACCCGAUGAGUGACAGAGGGAACUCCCUUAACUUCCUCAUCUUUAAAGAAAGGUCACGGGAGGACCGAGGUGUGCUGCGGAUCAUGUGGGCCAAGAGAGGUGAAAAGGCUGCUAGGAUAACACUGCACAUCGUCUAGUUGAAUAAAUGUCUUCCCAUCCAUGCCCCGCCAUCUGGAGUCCAGGCUCCACAAUCGGAUUUCAGCUCUGGGUGAUGGCAGGAAAGACAGUCAGAGCUGCAGUAAAUGAUUGUGAGAAUCUCACCCCGAUUGCCUCCUCUCCAGGAUCUUUCUGGAGCACCUGCUGUCCGACUCUAGCUUCUUUGGGUUCCAGGGAGGGACCAGCUGGAGGUAGCGCCAUGGACAUCCUGUUAUCAGGGGCAAGACUCUAGUGGGUGCUAAAAACAAAUGCCCAGGCACCAGGCAGCACUUAAGGGUGAUGUAUACACAAGAUACACAAGUGACAACUUCAGCAUCCUCUGCUAAGCCUCAUCCCUGCUCCAUCCAUUCAUCAUCAUCAAUAGAGUCUUUUGACACCCAUUUAUUGAAGCCUGCUGUGUACCAGGCUUAUGCGGGCUGGAGAACGAAAGAGGUUUAAGUCCCCCACUCUUGUUCCAGGAACCACAAAGAACAAGUCCGUUUUCCCUUCUUGUCAG
rnacentral:lncRNA from 1 species